UUUAGUGACACACCUAGAACUGAAAAGAUCAAGUACUGUAGAUCUCCACAGAUCUGCAGGGCUGCACCUCUCCAUAUGAACAUUUUUGAAUCAUACUGUCUGAGACAAGCACAACAAACACAUAAAGCAACGCAGUUUGACAAAACAGACGUGACCUGGAGCAUGUCACUCUGUUGUUUCCUGGAUCUGAAGAGGAGAAAAGCCUCGACCUCCAUCCUGCAUCAGCUCAAAGGCAAAGGACACAUUGUGAACCUGACGGAACGCAAAAGGGAAGGUCAGUGUAUUGACUACCUUGAGAAGAUCUUUGAAUUUAGGAUUUUCCCGCGAUGUUGGAUCCAGCAUGAUCCUCUCAGCGUUCUCCUCUGGUGAACAUAAUAUGAGAGACAUUAAGAGAGUCAGUGGAAAUAUACCCAUCAGUGUGUCCUCUGGAUGGAUGUCUGUCCCCGUGGGAAGCAUGGGAGCGUUGAUGGCAUUUUUCCCCUCCUCAUGGAGAUCGCUCACUGCAUGACUGUGCCCCAGUGCACAAAGCAAAGCUCCAUAAAGACAUGGUUGGAUGAGUUUGGGGUAGAAGAACUUGACUGGCCCACACAGAGUCCAGACCUCAAUCACAUCCAUCACCUUUGGGAUGAACUGAAACGAAGAUUGUGAACCAGGCCUUUUGGUCCUCCAUCAGUGUCUGACCUCACAAAUGCUCGACUGCAUGAACGGGCAAAAAUUCCCACAGAAACACUCCAACAUGUUGUGAAAAGCCUUUCCAGGAGAAUGGAAGUUAUUAUAGCCGCAAAGCUGUCUGUGUAUUUAGAAUACAGUGUCAUUAAAGUCUCUGUUGGUGUAAUGGUCAGAUGUCCCAAUACUUUUGUCUAUAUAUAGUAUAUCGCACCCACUUUCGCUUCAUAACGAAGCAUAUUGUCCUAAAACAAAGCUCUACACUGGUGGAAGCUGUUGUUCAGCUGUGAAUUGCAGAAACUUCAGAAACAGCUUGUAAGAAACGUUUGUCUGGGAAUUUUGAUCUGCCACACGUCUGUCACUUCCCACCAUGUGAGACUCUUUCCUUUUCACUAGAAGCUGCCUUACGGGGCAGCAGCGUCCCUCAAUGUCCCAUUCAAAAGCAAUUUAAAACCGAGUAUCUCAGGAUUUAAGAGUGUUUAAUUCCGUUAUUUUUCCAGCGUAACCACACAACAUACUCAAAAUAUGAUUAAAAUGAGAAUUUAGUCUUAAACAGUGAACAUGAGAGAUCACUAAAGGUGACAAAAGGCAACAAACAUGAAGACACAACUCGAGUCAGGCUAAAAUCCAUUUCUACUUCGAUGCUUUCACUGCUGACUGAAGAGACACCCUGGGGAUUUAAAGGCUUUCUUCCUCUAAUGGACACUUUGCUUUUAUCUUUCUGCAUUUCAAAUUGUCAGAUCUGCAGCAGACUCGACUAUAAUCAGUGCUCUCAAAUCUAACAAUUCAUUGACUUUGCUAUUUGUAAAAACCUACACGGAGAACCAAAGUGAAGAAAGAAACAGAACAAACAGCUGUGUCAUGAGCUCCUUUUCAAAUUAAAAGCAUGCGAAAUCAAUUCUUACAAUCGCAAAUAUAUUGAAAAACAGCCUCUAACAGUAUGUUUGUGGUACAAUCUGGACAAAAUCUUAACUUCAAAGUGUACAAAGAGAGGAUGUGCAAAAUUAGCCCAUGGAGGAGGAGGUCUCCACGGGUUUCCUAUCUGAUCCAGCCGCCUCAUAAGACCCGAGUCCUGAAUCUCACAACAGAUCAGCAGCUUUGCUUUGUAAUUACAGAGCGAGCUUGCUGCAUUUCAUCAUAAUUGCGCUGCUUCCUCCCUCCAUGUCCAUGCGACUGCAUUACUGCUGCUCUUGCGCUGAGCUAGGCAGAGCUUUGGCACUUCACCCAGAACAAGGUGGAUGAAAAGAGUCAAAUUAUACAAUCUAAUUAAUUUUCGAAGGCAAAUUUAUGGAGAAUGAUACGUGGAAAUAAAAAUACUUCCAUUCGGCUUUCCAGAAAUAUAACAUCAACCUCCACAAAAACACACACAGCCGAUCCAGUAAUGUUAAGUGCACAUUUGACAGUGACUUAUAGUACUUAAAUCUUGCUGGAUAUUAGCCUACAGUGCACUAAAGCAACAUGUCCUGCUUCCCCAUUUUCCACUUGAAAGUUCCUCAAACAUUAAAACCAUGUUACCUUGUUUCUUCCUCUUGGUCCCACACAGCAGUGCCGCCAUGUCCCCCCCCUGAUGGCAGCGAAGAGCGAAGGAAGGAGACACCACACUGGACGUGAACACGCCAGAGCAAAUCUGCCACACUAUCACCCUCUGGCCCGUCAAACCGUGGACACGGGACAGGCUUCACCGACGUGUGGCAGGCACCGGCGUACGAUCCAAUCACAGCGAAAACACAGCGACCUCGCACAUUCACGGGCAGACGACAGACUGGUAGAAGGAGCGCUGGUUGGGGGGCGAAAAAUACAGACCAAUGACUCACACGUGAGUUAAAGCUUCAUCUGCUCCAGUGGUUACUGACGGCUCACCCCACAGCGCCCCCAACGGCAGGAUGAGGAACAGCAUUUAUAAGGCCCUGCAGCAGACCUGUUAGGUGUUGCCACACGGCGUCACAAACCCCACUAUCUGGCAUUCGAACCAGCAGAACCAGACCGGGAUCAUACUGGUAUCCCAGAGGCAGGAGAAGGCCCAACAAGGCCUGCAUGAACCCUGACACGUCACUGCAGCCCUGUGGGAGGAGACAGACACA